rnacentral:lncRNA from 1 species
UACCGGUGAAAUAUGAAUCCUCCACCCACAAUCUUGCUUGCAAAUGCCGUAAUCUGAUUUAUCUCAUUCUUUUUAUAGACAAAAUCAAAACCCUUCUGUAUAAUAUAUAGCCGUAGCAUUUUCCUAAACUAUGCGGCAAUGCUAAACCUCAUUCCAACAGAAAGUUUGACCAUCCGUUUCAUAUCUAUAGAAUCAUAAAAUUCGAAAUAGUGUGGAUCAGA